rnacentral:tRNA from 1 species
UUGGGGAGUCGCCAAGUGGCAAGGCAGCGGAUUUUGGAUCCGCCAUCCGCAGGUUCGAAUCCUGCCUCCCCAGUAGA